rnacentral:tRNA from 1 species
AAGGAUUUAAGUUAAAUAAAACUUUUAACCUUCAAAGUUAACAUUAGAAAUAUGUCUAAGCCUUA